CCUUUAGUUCGAUAUCGCAUUUUAGUUUUUAAGAAAAUACCAGAAAAUUAUUUUUAGUAAUUACAAUCACACAGUUAUUAAUAAUAAUAUUGCUAUACAAUUAAAUUCAAUAUAAAACUCAAAUACAAUACAAUACCUAUCCCUCUAGAUAAAAUAAAAACCUGAAGCAACAAGGAUGAGGGAACUCUAUAAAAACAAUAGGAAUCACAAAUAAAUCUACUAAUCGUCUGCAGCUUCUUACUGAAUCUCCGAACCUGUGUCACUGAAAGGGUGGAAGAUUUGGGGUGAGAACAAACCACACGUUCUCAGUAGGGAAUGGGAAUGCUGUAAAAGUAAUGAAUUUAAUGCAAAUAAUUAACUUUACUCAAUAAAACUAUUUUGUUAACCCUUUGGAAAUAAUUUUAUUUCUACUUUAGAUAAAUAAUUACUUUUCUUUAAAUCACAUUAUCCGGGCACAAGUCCCAUAUAUGGUUUUCCAGAUGCAUCAGUGUGCUUAUAAGUCGUACGGCUAGGCCGCAUCAGUGUGACUUUUCAAAUCAAUAAGCGUACAUCUGGAAAACAGUUCUCAGUGUGUGGGCAUCCCCACUUUACAUUUGGCACUAAGGCCCAAACAACGUCACAUCUGCUCUCCUGUAGCAGACACUUCAUUAAUUAAUAUAUUCUUUAAAUCCUUGUUCUCUGCUCUCCUGUGGCAGAGAUUCCUUUUCUUAAUAAACCGAGCUCAAAUCUUUACUUAAAACAAAAUCUCUCCUUAAAAGAUUGGGUUUAAAACAUUAUAUUUUUCUUAAUAAAUAAAAUUUUAAAAUAGAAUAAAUCUUUUCUUAACUAAAUAUAUUUUAAAUAAUUUAAUUUUCCAAAACCAAAUCUUUUAAAAUAACUUCUCAAAUAAAACCUCAGAUUUUAUAAAAUUUCGGCGGUAUUUUCUCUAAAAUUCGGACUAAACCACCCAUACGGGUUCCCUAUUCCUCAACAAUCACAUUUUCACAACCUCAAUCCAAACUUAAUUCGACCAAUUAAACUCUCAUAACAACCAAACCAGUCACAUUCACAGCAAUAAUCCAUACUCAAUAUCAUUACUAUAUAUAUUUGCAAUUAUCCAAUUAACUUUGUAGGCAUUCUAAAUUAAAAACUUAACUUUAAAAAUAAACCCCCUACCUCCGUAUGAAAUUAAAAUUAACGAAAUUUCUGGAAAAAUUUUCUGAUCGAGCUGCUGAAGAGGAAAGCGUCAGAAAUCAUUUGUGCCUUCUAGAACUCCAGUUAGCCAAACUCAAGGGAAAGAGAAGCUACGUCACCGUCAACUUCUACCGAAUAAAAAUAACGCCAACGUGUAGAGAAAGAAGAUACGAACACUUUUACCGGAUUAAAUUUUUUAUUGGAUUUACGGAUAGCAAAAAAUCGAGACCGAAAACUCGAAAGUUUCACGGUUCUCCUCAGCCACACUCUCGGUCUCUCUCUUUCUUUCUUUUUCUUAGUGGUUCGGUGAUUCAGUGAAA
rnacentral:lncRNA from 1 species